rnacentral:rRNA from 1 species
CAAUAGCGUAUAUUAAUGUUGUUGCAGUUAAAAAGCUCGUAGUUGGAUUUCUGGUGGGAGCGGCCGGUCCGCCGUAAGGUGUGUACUUGGUUGACUCCUGUCAUCCUUGUGGGAACUGCUCUGGCAUUAAGUUGUCGGGGUUAGGGAACACAUCGUUUACUGUGAAAAAAUUAGAGUGUUUAAAGCAGGCUUAUGCCGUUGAAUACAUUAGCAUGGAAUAAUAAGAUAGGACUUUGGCGUCUAUUUUGUUGGUUUGCACACCAAGGUAAUGAUUAAUAGGGAUAGUUGGGGGUAUUCGUAUUUAAUUGUCAGAGGUGAAAUUCUUGGAUUUAUGAAAGACGAACUUCUGCGAAAGCAUUUACCAAAGAUGUUUUCAUUAA